rnacentral:rRNA from 1 species
AGUGAACGCUGGCGGUAGGCCUAACACAUGCAAGUCGAACGGCAGCACAGUAAGAGCUUGCUCUUACGGGUGGCGAGUGGCGGACGGGUGAGGAAUACAUCGGAAUCUACUUUUUCGUGGGGGAUAACGUAGGGAAACUUACGCUAAUACCGCAUACGACCUACGGGUGAAAGCAGGGGAUCUUCGGACCUUGCGCGAUUGAAUGAGCCGAUGUCGGAUUAGCUAGUUGGCGGGGUAAAGGCCCACCAAGGCGACGAUCCGUAGCUGGUCUGAGAGGAUGAUCAGCCACACUGGAACUGAGACACGGUCCAGACUCCUAUGGGAGGCAGCAGUGGGGAAUAUUGGACAAUGGGCGCAAGCCUGAUCCAGCCAUACCGCGUGGGUGAAGAAGGCCUUCGGGUUGUAAAGCCCUUUUGUCGGGAAAGAAAAGCAGCAGGUUAAUACCCCGCUGUUCUGACGGUACCCAAAGAAUAAGCACCGGCUAACUUCGUG